CAUAUUCGUGUGCUUGAAUUGAAACCACACAACAGAAUAUAGCCACAUUGCUGAUGGGUCUUGAAUAUCUAAUAAACAUCUCAUAUGUGGAUGACACUGGAGUUUUUAAGGUUUGCUUGGAAUAUUAGAAUUCCUUGGUUUUGGAACUAUUUGAGUUUCAUAAUAAUUUGGAUAAUCCUGCAGCAGCUGCAAAUAUGAUGGGGCUGCAGGCCUCCUUGCUGUGAUAAAGAAGGGGUCAAGAAAGGACCUUGGACUCCUGAAGAAGAUAUCAUUUUGGUCUAUUACAUUCAAGAACAUGGUCCUGGAAAUUGGAGGGCUGUUCCUACCAAUACAGUGUAGAGCUAGACGGAAGACACGUACACCUAUAUGGAAUUGGAUGAGGUGCGAGAAGAAUUGGCAACUCAUGUCCUAUAAUGGCUUUUUGAUUGAACGAAACAUUCCUCCUUCAUUUUACAUGUCUUUCUAGCUAGUAUUUUGCGUAUAUCUAAGUAUGAAUAAUUUGUGGUGUGGAGUUGGAAAAAUUGUGAUUUGGAUGU